UUCUGUCCGCAGCCCCUGAACGGGUCGCUGACGCUGGAGUUGGUGAACGAGAAGUUCUGGAAGCUCAGCAAACCCCUGGAGCUCUACUACGCCCCCACCAAGGAGCAGAAAUAGCCAAAAACGCCCAAAACGCCCCAAAAUCCAACCUGGGGACACCGAAAUACCCCAAAAUUUAAUUUGGGGACACUGAAAUACCCCAAAAUCCAACCUGGGGACACCAACAUUCAAUCUGGGGACACAAAAAUGUCCCAAAAUUCAAUUUGGGGACAUUGAAAUGCCCCAAAAUCCAACCUGGGGGGACACAAAAAUGUCCCAAAAUUCAACUUGGGGGACCCCAAAAUCCAACCUGGGGACACCGAAAUACCCCAAAAUUUAAUUUGGGGACAUUAAAAUAUCCCAAAAUCGAACCUGGGGACCCCGAAAUCCAAUUUGGGGACACCAGAAUACCCCAAAAAUUCAUCCUGGGGAUCCCAAAAUUCAAUCUGGGGACACCAAAAUACCCCAAAAUUUAAUUUGGGAACACUGAAAUACCCGAAAAUCCAACCGGGGGACACCGAAAUCCAACCUGGGGACACCGAAAUUCAAUUUGGGGACACAAAAAUAUCCCAAAAUUCAAUUUGGGGACACCAAAAUACCCCAAAAUUCAAUUUGGGGACAUUAAAAUACCCAAAAUCCAACCGGGGGAUCCCAAAAUUCAAUUUGGGGACACUGAAAUAUCCCAAAAUUCAAUUUGGGGACACCAAAAUACCCCAGAAUUCAAUUUGGGGGCACAAAAAUGUCCCAAAAUCCAAUUUGGGGACACCAAAAUCCAACCUGGGGACACAGAAAUUUCCCAAAAUUAAAUUUGGGAACCCCAAAAUCCCCUCCCAGGGGGGCUCAGAUUUGGGUGGGAAUUUUGGGGAAUUUUUGGGUGAAAUUUUCAGUAAAUUUCAGGAAUUUUUGGGUGAAAUUUUCAGUAAAGUUCAGGAAUUUUUGGGUGAAAGUUUCAGUAAAUUUCAGGAAUUUUUGGGUGAAAAUUUCAGUAAAGUUCAGAAAUUUUUGGGGAAUUUUUGGGUGAAAUUUUCAGUAAAUUUGAAGAAUUUUUGGGGGA
rnacentral:lncRNA from 1 species